CAAGUCGCGGGGCAGCACAGUGUAGCAAUACAUGGGUGGCGACCGGCAAACGGGUGCGGAACACGUACACAACCUUCCUUUAAGAGGGGAAUAACCCGGAGAAAUUCGGACUAAUACCCCAUAGUAACUAAUGGUUGGCAUCAAUUUUAGUUAAAACUACGGUGCUUGGAGAUGGGUGUGCGUCUGAUUAGGUAGUUGGAGAGGUAACGGCUUACCAAGCCAACGAUCAGUANCUGAUGUGAGANCAUGAUCAGCCACACGGGCACUGAGACACGGGCCCGACUCCUACGGGAGGCAGCAGUAAGGAAUAUUNGACAAUUGACGCAAGUCUGANCCAGCCAUGCCGCGUGAAGGAUUAAGGUCCUCUGGAUUGUAAACNUCUU
rnacentral:rRNA from 1 species